rnacentral:misc_RNA from 1 species
GAUGAAGAACGUAGCGAAAUGCGAUAAGUAAUGUGAAUUGCAGAAUUCAGUGAAUCAUCGAAUCUUUGAACGCACAUUGCGCCCCCUGGCAUUCCGGGGGGCAUGCCUGUUCGAGCGUCAUUUCAACCCUCAAGCACAGCUUGGUGUUGGGACUCGCGUUAAUUCGCGUUCCCCAAAUUGAUUGGCGGUCACGUCGAGCUUCCAUAGCGUAGUAGUAAAACCCUCGUUACUGGUAAUCGUCGCGGCCACGCCGUUAAACCCCAACUUCUGAAUGUUGACCUCGGAUCAGGUAGGAAUACCCGCUGAACUUAAGCAUAUCAAUAAGCGGAGGA